ACGGAGGGGACUAGCGUUGUUCGGAAUUACUGGGCGUAAAGCGCCCGUAGGCGGACCAGAAAGUAUGGGGUGAAAUCCCAGGGCUCAACCCUGGAACUGCCUCAUAAACUCCUGGUCUAGAGUUCGAGAGAGGUGAGUGGAAUUCCGAGUGUAGAGGUGAAAUUCGUAGAUAUUCGGAGGAACACCAGUGGCGAAGGCGGCUCACUGGCUCGAUACUGACGCUGAGGUGCGAAAGCGUGGGGAGCAAACAGG
rnacentral:rRNA from 1 species